UACAGAGGGUGCGAGCGUUGUCCGGAAUUACUGGGCGUAAAGGGCGCGUAGGCGGCCUGAUAAGUCGUGGGUGAAAUUCCGUGGCUCAACCACGGAACUGCCUUCUAAACUGCCAGGCUUGAGCACGGUAGAGGCAGAUGGAAUUCCCGGUGUAGCGGUGGAAUGCGUAGAGAUCGGGAAGAACACCAGUGGCGAAGGCGGUCUGCUGGGCCGUUGCUGACGCUGAUGCGCGACAGCGUGGGGAGCAAAUAGG
rnacentral:rRNA from 1 species